rnacentral:rRNA from 1 species
ACUCCUACGGGAGGCAGCAGUGGGGAAUUUUGGACAAUGGGCGAAAGCCUGAUCCAGCCAUGCCGCGUGCAGGAUGAAGGCCUUCGGGUUGUAAACUGCUUUUGUACGGAACGAAACGGCCUUUUCUAAUAAAGAGGGCUAAUGACGGUACCGUAAGAAUAAGCACCGGCUAACUACGUGCCAGCAGCCGCGGUAAUACGUAGGGUGCAAGCGUUAAUCGGACUUACUGGGCGUAAAGCGUGCGCAGGCGGUUAUGUAAGACAGUUGUGAAAUCCCCGGGCUCAACCUGGGAACUGCAUCUGUGACUGCAUAGCUAGAGUACGGUAGAGGGGGAUGGAAUUCCGCGUGUAGCAGUGAAAUGCGUAGAUAUGCGGAGGAACACCGAUGGCGAAGGCAAUCCCCUGGACCUGUACUGACGCUCAUGCACGAAAGCGUGGGGAGCAAACAGGAUUAGAAACCCCUGUAGUCCCAU